rnacentral:rRNA from 1 species
AUUGAACGCUGGCGGCAGGCUUAACACAUGCAAGUCGAGCGGGCACUUCGGUGUCAGCGGCAGACGGGUGAGUAACACGUGGGAACGUGCCCUUCGGUUCGGAAUAACUCAGGGAAACUUGAGCUAAUACCGGAUACGCCCUUUUGGGGAAAGGCUUGCUGCCGAAGGAUCGGCCCGCGUCUGAUUAGCUAGUUGGUGGGGUAACGGCCUACCAAGGCGACGAUCAGUAGCUGGUCUGAGAGGAUGAUCAGCCACACUGGGACUGAGACACGGCCCAGACUCCUACGGGAGGCAGCAGUGGGGAAUAUUGGACAAUGGGCGCAAGCCUGAUCCAGCCAUGCCGCGUGAGUGAUGAAGGCCUUAGGGUUGUAAAGCUCUUUUGUCCGGGACGAUAAUGACGGUACCGGAAGAAUAGGCCCCGGCUAACUUCGUGCCAGCCGCCGCAGUAAAAC